rnacentral:lncRNA from 1 species
CCCAUAUGAUCUCAUGUUUCAUGGCUAAAAAUUGGAAUAAAUAGACACAUUACAGUAAAUAGCAUUUAUUUAAUCAUCAUAUAUAGCAUCAUCACCACAUGCAUGCUACUAAAGAAGUGUAGAUACAAUAAUCAUGGGUGGAUACACUAUUAACGAAGCGGUGUCACGCGCCAACGCUUCAUCAGAAACUUUUACUGUUAUAUGUAUUAAUACUGCGAGAAAACAGAUAAGUAAUAAAAAUUAUAUCACUUAAACAUAAAUCGUUGCGUUGGUUAUGUUCCUGAUUUUUCUCGGAAAGGUCAGAGUUUUGCAAAUAUGUGAGACGGCCUAUGUGGUUAAAAAUUAUGAUAAAGUAGAAUUGAACUCGUGACUUUUUCUAACUUAAGAAUCAACAAACCUAUUCUAACGACCCGGCCGGUAGUUUUGAGAGUAAUAGCCCCGAUCCCCUAUUAACUGCUUUUUCCAUAUUUAUUUCUGCUAUUGUGACUUGCCGGGAUGAUUGGUUUUGAGUUUCGAGGUGUUUUGGGACACUUAGUCCCUAAAUGAGAGCUUAAACCUUAUGAUUUGGACCGUAGUCAGAACUAUGUAAAGACGACUCUGGAAUAUAAUUCGUCGGUUUCGUUAGCUCCGUUAGGUGAUUUUGGGUUUAGGGGCGUGUCCGGAUUGUGUUUUGGAGGUCCGUAGCUCAUUUAGGCUUGAAAUGGCGAGAGUCGAAUAUUUAGAAUUUUGGGACGGUAGGGAAAUUUUUGAUAUCGGAGUCGAAAUCCGAUUCCGGAAGUUGGAAUAGAUCCGUAAUAUCGAAUAUGACUUGCGUGCAAAAUUUGGGAUUAAUCGGACGUGGUUUGAUAGGUUUCGGCAUCGGUUGUAGAAUUUUGAAGUUUCAAGUUCUUUAAGUUUGAAUUGGAAGGUGAUUCAUGAUUUUAGCAUUUUUGGAUGUGAUUUGAAGGCUCGACUAAGUUCGUAUGGUGUUUUAGGAUUGGUUUGUAUGUUUGGUUGAGGUUUCGGGGGCCUCGGGUGUAUUUCAGAUGCUUAACGGGUGAAAGCUUGGACUUAGAGGAAUUUCUAAUCUUUACUGAUUCUGGUAUUUUCGCAUCUGCGGAAAAGAUACCGCAGGUGCGCGAGCCGCACAUGUGGAGGGAAGGUGCGCAGAUGCGAAGGAAUGAGGGGCUGUUCAGUUUCCGCAGAAGCGGAGUAAUAGCGCGCAGGUGCGAGAAUUUGCUGCGCAGAUGCGAAAAAUGUGAGGCCAAGGAUGGAGCGCAUGUGCGAAGGAUUUGGCCGCACUUGCGAGCCCGCAUGUGCGAGGCCUGGAGCGCAGGUGCGGAAGCUGGGGAAUUAAGUGGAGUUCACGGAUGCGGCGCCUUGACCGCAUGUGCGGUCCCGCAGGCGCGAAAAAAGAGCCCGCAUGUGCGAAAAACCUGGGCAGAAACCAUAAAUAGGACCCUUCGCGAAUUUGGUUCAUUUCCACCAUUUUCAAGUCGGUUUUUGGAGGUAUUUAUGAAGGGUGAUUCAAGGGCUACCAGUGAGGUAAGUUGCUUGAGCCUAAUACUCGUAUAUAUGGUGAUCUUUCCAUUGUUUAAUCAUUAUAAUUAGUGAAAAUGAGGGGGUUAGGGCUUGGAAUAUUUGAAAGUUUGAAUUUGGAUUUGGAGGACCAUUUGGUGUCGGAUUUUAGUAAAUUUGAUAUGGUUAGACUCAUGAGUGAAUGAGCUUUCUAGUUUCGUAAAUUUUGUUGGGUUUUGAGACGUGGGCCUGGGGCCCGGACUUGAGCCAAUUUCGGGUUUUGGCCUAAUUUUUAUAGUUUUUCUUGUGGGAUUCAUUCCAUUAACGCGUAUUUGGAAUCGGAUACUCGUGGAAAGAAUGUGAUAUCAGNNNNNNNNNNNNNNNNNNNNNNNNNNNNNNNNNNNNNNNNNNNNNNNNNNNNNNNNNNNNNNNNNNNNNNNNNNNNNNNNNNNNNNNNNNNNNNNNNNNNNNNNNNNNNNNNNNNNNNNNNNNNNNNNNNNNNGUGACGAGUACGUACACGAGCUAUUAUUGCAAAAAUUCCGUUUUUCCUUUCUAAAUCAUAAAUUGUUUUCCUUAUUAAAUUGCAUUAAUGCAUUAAAUUGUGAAACUAGGACUAGGGAAGCAUGCUUACGUGUUUUAACUGCCUAAUUGACAUUCUGUGCGUCAUGUUUAGUUAGGUCCUUAAUUGCCUUAUCUGUGUCCAGUAUAAACUGUAUAACUCGAUGCCAUACCUUCCAUUUCAUCUCGCAUUGCAUAUUUAAAUUGGGACUACGGACGUAUUUCGGGAGAUCCCCCUACACUGCAUAUUUACUUUGGGACUACGGACGUAUUCCGGGAGAUCCCCAUGUACUGCAUAUUUACUUUGGGACUACAGACGUAUUCCAGGAGAUCCCCAUGUACUACAUAUUUACUUUGGGACUACGGACGUAUUCCGGAAGAUCCCCCGAAACUGCAUAUUUACUUUGGGACUACGGACGUAUUUCGGGAGAUUCGCCUGUACUGCAUAUUCAUUUGAAACCACGGCACGGUAUCCCGAGAGAUUUUCCCACUGUGUUUACCUUGUUUUGAGCCGAGGGCUCCCUUUAACUGUGUUAUCGUAAAUUUUACUUAUAUGUUUUACUGUUUAAUUCACUAUAUAUUCUCCAGUAGGGCCUUAACCUGACCUCGUCACUACUCGACCGAGGUUAGACUUGGCACUUAUUGGGUACCAUUGUGGUGUACUCAUGCCCUUUCCUGCACAUAUUUUCAUGUGCAGAUCCAGGUACGAGCUAUCAGCCUUGGGUUUAGUACGUGCUGCUGAUUCUAGGAGACUUCAAGUUACUUCUUCUUGCGUCCGCAGAUCUUCGGAGUCCUCUUCUACUCCCUCGCCCAGAGACUUUUCUUUAUUAUCUUUAGACUUUUGUAUAGAGUUACAUAGAUUAUAGUAGCUUGUGACUUAGUGAUAUUCCGGGUCUUGGAGAAUUAUUUUGUAUAUGUCGAGUGGUGCUACUCUUGGCUAUUUAUAUUAUGUUGUUUAUUUUAAAAAUGUUGUGUUUUCUUUACAUUUUUUGCAAUAUUAGGAUUACCUAGUCGUAAAGACUAGGUGCCAUCACGACACCUUACAGAGGAUUAAUUUGGGUUGUGACAAGUUGGUAUCAGAGCACUAGGUUAGUAGGAGUCGUGAGUCACAAGCUAGUUUAUAAGAGUCUCGCGGAUCGGUGCGGAGACGUCCGUACUUAUCUUCGGGAGGCUAUGUAACUGUUAAGAAAAAUCACAUUUCUUUGAUUUCCUUGUCGUGCGAGUUAUUGACACCAAAAAUUCUAUGAUUUUAUUCUAUUCUUUCUCACAGAUGGUGAGGACCCGCAAUGGGAGGACCGACGAUCAAGCACCCGAGCCCCCUGCCAUAGCCGCCAGAGGCCGGGGUCGGGGUAGAGGACGACCACGCGGUGCAGCCCGAGCACCUGCGAGAGCUGCGUCAGAGGAGCCCCCAGCAACUCCAACUGGUGGGCCUGCACCGGAGAUCCCUAUUACUACUCCAGCCCUCCAGGAGACUUUAGCUCAGUUCUUGAGCAUGUUCAGCACUUUGGCUCAGGCUGGACUAUUUCUGAUAGCUCCCGCUACAUCUCAGGGCGGGGGAGGGGCACAAACUCCCGCAGCCCGCACUCCUAAGCAGAGGGUCCAGGUUUUUCAGGCCCAGAGUAUAUUCCUACGCCCCCAGUGGCUCCAGUUCAGCAUGAGAUCAGGGUAGCUUCUUCUGAGGCAGAGCAGCUCAGACUUGAGAGGUACAAGAAGUACCACCCACCUACUAUCAACGGACUAGCUUCAGAUAAUGCUCUGGGUUUUCUCGAGGAGUGUCAUCGUAUUCUCCGCACUAUGGGCAUUGUAGAGACGAGUGGGGUUACUUUCACUGCUUUCCAGCUGAGAGGAGCAACAUAUCAGUGGUGGCAUGCUUAUGAGCUGAGUAGUCCAGACGAGGCAGCCUCACUCACUUGGACUCAGUUUUUAGAGAUGUUCUUGCGUGAGUAUGUUCCUCAGAGCCUCAGGGAUGCUUGGUGCGCAGAGUUUGAGCAGUUGCGUCAGAUUGUCGGAGUAUGUAGUCUGUUUCAGUGGGUUAGCUCGCCAUGCACCGGCUCUGGUUGCUACAGUCAGAGAGAGGGUUCGUCGCUUGAUUGAGCGACUCCACCCCAGUAUUCGGACCAGUAUGGCCAGGGAGUUGGAGAUGGACAUCCCUUAUCAGUAGGCAGUGAGCAUUGCCAGGAGAGUGGAGGGCAUGUUCGCCCGGGACAGAGAGGAGAGAGAGGCCAAGAGGUCUCGAGAGACUGGUCAUUAUUAAGGAGCUCGUACACCAGCAACACGCUAUGGUAGGGUUUUUUUUAAGUCGCCCUGUUCAUUUAGCUCUUCGAGAAGCCAGUGGUGUUCCAGCUCCUCCUAGACCUCAGGAGUCCUAUUAUGCACCGCUAGUAUCCAGUAUGCCUCCUACUCAAGGUGCUAUUACAGUCCAGUCUAGCAGGCCAGGCCCGAGUCAGUCCCAGCCGCCGAGUCCUCCGAGAGGUUGUUUUGAGUGUGUUGACACUCAUCACCUGGUUAAGGAUUGCCCUAGAGCCAGGAGGGGUGCACCUCCACAGACUUAUCAGCGUCCACGUGCUCCACCAGGUCCUCCGGCCAUUCUUCCAGCACCAGCUGCCACCCCACCUCCUCAGCCAGCUCGAGGUGGAGGUCGGGGAGGCCGAGGUCGCCCUAGAGGGGGAGGUCAGGCUAGGUACUAUACCCUUCCAGCCCGUUCUGAGGUCGUUGCUUCCGAUUCAGUUAUCACAGGUAUCGUCCCUGUUUGUCAUAGGGAUGCAUCAGUAUUAUUCGACCCAGGCUCUACGUAUUUAUAUGUGUCUUCUUAUUUUGCUCCACAUUUGGGGAUAUCUCGGGAUUCUUUGAGUUCCCCUGUUUAUGUAUCUAUUCCCGUAGGAGAUUCUCUCGUUGUGGACCGCGUAUAUCGGUCGUGUUUGAUUGCUCUUAGUGGUUUUGAGACCAGAGCUGAUUUGUUAUUACUCAGUAUGGUAGAUUUUGAUGCUAUCUUGGGCAUGGACUGGUUGUCGCCUCAUUAUGCUAUUCUUGAUUGUCACGCUAAGACCGUGACGCUGGCUAUGCCAGGCUUGCCGAGAUUAGAGUGGAGACGUACCUUAGAGUAUACUCCCUGCAGGGUCAUUUCAUUUCUUAAGGCUCAGUGAAUGGUUGAGAAGGGGUGUGAUGCGUAUUUGGCCUAAAUGAGAGAUGUCAGUAUUGAUACCUCUACGGUCGAGUCAGUUCCAGUAGUGAGAGACUUUCCAGAUAUGUUUCCAGCUGAUCAUCCGGGCAUGCCGCCUGACAGAGAUAUUGAUUUCGGCAUUGAUUUGUUGUCGGGCACUCAGCCCAUCUCUAUUCCUCCAUAUCAUAUGGCUCCUCCUGAAUUAAAGGAGUUGAAGGAGGAGUUGCAGGAGUUGCUUGAUAAGGGCUUCAUUCAGCCCAGUGUAUCACCUUGGGGUGCUCCGAUCUUGUUUGUGAAGAAGAAGGAUGGUUCUAUGUGUAUGUGUAUUGAUUAUCGACAGUUGAACAAAGUUACAGUGAAGAACAUGUAUCCUUUGCCUCUCAUCAAUGAUUUAUUUGAUCAAUUAUAGGGUGCCAGGGUGUUUUCCAAGAUUGACUUCCGUUCUGGCUAUCAUCAGUUGAAAAUUCGGGAGCCGGACAUCCCGAAGACUGCUUUCAGGACCAGAUAUGGUCACUAUAAGCUUCUUGUCAUGUCAUUUGGACUGACAAAUUCCCCAGCAACCUUUAUGCAUUUGAUGCACAGUGUGUUCCGGCCUUAUAUUGAUUCCUUCGUCAUCAUGUUUAUUGACGACAUCCUGGUAUAUUCCCGGUCUCGGGAAGAUCAUGAGCAGCACCUGAGGACUGCACUUCAGACCUUGAGAGAAAAGAAGUUGUAUGCAAAAUUUUUAAAGUGUGAGUUUUGGUUAGACUCAGUGGAAUUCUUGGGUCAUAUAGUAUCGACUGAGGGGAUCCAGGUGGAUCCGAAGAAGAUUGAAGCAGUGCAUAGUUGGCCCAGGCCGUCCUCAGCUACAGAGAUUCGGAAUUUUCUUGGUUUGGCAGGGUAUUACCGUCGCUUUGUAGAGGAAUUUUCUUCUAUUGCGGCACCUAUGACCAGAUUGACCCAGAAGGGUGCUCCGUUCAGGUGGACCGAGGAGUGUGAGGAGAUCUUUUAGAAGCUUAAGACAGCUUUGACUACAGCCCUAGUGUUAGUGUUGCCUACAUGUUCGGGGUCCUACACUAUCUAUUGUGAUGCCUCGAGGAUUGGCCCUGGAGCGGUAUUGAUGCAGGACGGUAGGGUGAUUGCCUACGCGUCUAGACAGUUGAAGGUGUAUGAGAAGAAUUAUCCGGUUCAUGAUCUCGAGUUAGCAGCUAUUAUUUACGCCCUGAAGAUCUGGCGUCAUUAUUUGUACGGUGUGCCCUGUGAGAUUUACACUGAUCAACGGAGUUUGCAGUACUUGUCCAGGCAGAAGGACCUUAAUUUGCGUCAGCAGAGGUGGUUGGACCUACUUAAAUAUUAUGAUAUCACUAUAUUGUACCACCCGGGGAAGGCCAAUGUAGUGGCCGAUGCCUUGAGUCUCCGGGCAGAGAGUUUGGGAAGUUUGGCAUAUCUUCCGGCAGCUGAGAGACCCUUAGCCUUGGAUAUUCAGGCCUUAGCCAGUCAGUUGGUGAGAUUGGAUAUUUCAGAGCCUAGCCGGGUAUUAGCUUGUGUGGUUGCUCGGUCUUCUCUUUAUGACCGUAUCAGAGAGCGCCAGUAUGAUGAUCCCCAUCUUCUAGUUCUUCAGGACAGGGUUCGGCGAGGUGACACCAGAGAUGUGACUAUUGGUGAUGACGGUGUGAUGAGGAUGCAGGGCCGGAUCUGUGUGCUUAAUGUAGAUGAGCUUCGAGAGUUGAUUCUCGAGGAGGCCCACAGCUCGCGGUACUUGAGGCAGCACUAUUGGUGGAGAAUAAUGAAAAAGGAUAUAGUUGGGUUUGUGGCCAAGUGUCUCAACUGUCAGCAGGUUAAAUACGAGCAUCAGAGACCGGGUGGAUUACUUCAGAGAUUAGAGAUCCCAGAGUGUAAGUGGGAGCGGGUCACCAUGGAAUUUGUGGUUGGACUUCUUCGUACAUUGAGAAAGUUCGAUGCUAUUUGGGUGAUCGCGGAUCGGCUGACCAAGUCAGCCCAUUUCAUUCCAGUGUUGACUACAUAUUCUUUCGAGAGGUUGGCUGAGAUUUAUAUCAGAGAGAUUGUUCGCCUUCAUGGUAUUCCAAUAUCCAUCAUUUCAGACAGAGGUACACAGUUCACAUCCCGGUUUUGGAGAGCCGUAGAACAGGAGUUGGGUACUAGGGUGGAGUUGAGCACAGCCUUUCACCCUCAGACGGACGGGCAGUCCGAGCGCACGAUUCAGAUUCUUGAGGAUAUGCUCCGUACCAGUGAUGGAGUUUGGAAGGUCAUGGGACUAAUACUUGCCACUUGCAUAGUUCACUUACAACAACAGUUAUCAUUCCAGCAUUCAGAUUGCACCGUAUGAGGCUUUUUAUAGUAGGCGGUGCCGGUCCCCAGUGGGAUGGUAUUAGCCGGGAGAGGCCCGAUUGUUGGGUACAGACUUGGUCUAGGAUGCCCUGGAUAAGGUGAAGGUGAUUCAAGAGAGACUUCGCACAACACAUUCUAGGCAGAAGAGUUAUGCGGACCGGAAGGUUCGUGAUUUGGCAUUUAUGGUUGGUGAGCGGGUCUUGCUUUGGGUAUCGCCUAUGAAAGGUGUCAUGAGGUUUGGGAAGAAGGGCAAGCUGAGCACGAGGUUCAUUGGUCCUUUUGAGAUAUUGCGGCGAGUUGGGGAGGUUGCUUAUGAGCUUGCCUUGCCUCCUAGCCUAGCGGGAGUUCACCCGGUAUUCCGCGUGUCUAUGAUCUGGAAGUAUCAUAUUGAUCCAACUCAUGUAUUGGAUUUCAGCUCAGUCUAGUUGGACAAGGAUCUAUCUUAUGUUGAGGAGCCAGUAGUCAUUUUGGACAGGCAGGUCAGAAAGCUCAGGUCAAAGAAUAUUGCUUCAGUAAAGGUCCAGUGGAGAGGCCAGCCGAUCGAGGAGGCGACUUGGGAGACCGAGCAGGAUAUGUGCAGCCAGUACCCUCAUCUUUUCACAGUUUCAGGUAUGUCUUUAUACUCAUUUGAGGACGAACGAUUGUUUGAAGAGGGGGAUGAUGUAACGACCCGGCCGGUCAUUUUGAAAGUAAUAGCUCUGAUCCCCUAUUAACUACUUUUCCCAUCUCUAUUUCUGCUAUUGUGACUUGCCGGGAUGAUGGUUUUGCAGUUUCGGAGNNNNNNNNNNNNNNNNNNNNNNNNNGUUUUGGAGGUCCGUAGCUCAUUUAGGCUUGAAAUGGCAAGAGUCGAAUUUUUGGAGUUUUGGGCCGGUAUGGGAAUUUUUGAUAUAGGGGUUGGAAUCUGAUUCCGAAAGUUGGAAUUGGUCCGUAAUAUCGAAUAUGACUUGCGUCCAAAAUUUGGGGUCAAUCGGACGUGGUUUGAUAGGUUUCGACAUCGGUUGUAGAAUUUUGAAGUUUCAAGUUCUUUAAGUUUGAAUUGGAAGGUGAUUCAUGAUUUUAGCAUUUUUGGAUGUGAUUUGAAGGCUCGACUAAGUUCAUAUGGUGUUUUAGGAUUGGCUAGUAUGUUUGGUUGAGGUCCCGGGGGUCUCGGGUGUGUUUCGGAUGCUUAACGGGUGAAAGCUUGGACUUAGAGGAAUUUCUGAUCUUUGCUAGUUCUGGUGUUUUCGCACCUGCGGAAAAGAGACCGCAUGUGCGCGAGCCGCACAUGCGGAGGGAAGGUGCGCAGAUGCGAAGGAAUGAGGGGCUGUUCAGUUUCUGCAGAAGCGGGGUAUUAGCGCGCAGGUGCGAGAAUUUGUUGCGCAGAAGCGGAAAAUGUGAGGCCAAGUAUGGAGUGCAGGUGCGAAGGAUUUGGCCGCACCUGCGAGCCCGCAUGUGAGAGGCCUGGAGCGUAGGUGCGGAAGCUGGGAAAUUACGUGGAGUUCGCGGAUGCGGCGCCUUGACCGCAUGUGCGGUCCCGCAAGCGCGGAGAAAGAGCCCGCAUGUGCGAAAAACCUGGGUAGAAACCAUAAAUAGGACCCUUCGCGAAUUUGGUUCAUUUCCACCAUUUUCAAGUCGGUUUUUGGAGCUUUUGGAGGUAUUUCUGAAGGGUGAUUCAAGGGCUAUCAGUGAGGUAAGUUGCUUGAGCCUAAUACUCGUAUAUAUGGUAAUUUUCUCGUUGUUUAAUCAUUGUAAUUAGUGAAAAUGAGGGGGUUAGGGCUUGGAAUAUUUGGAAGUUUGAAUUUGGAUUUGGAGGACCAUCUGGUAUCGGAUUUUAGUAAAUUUGAUAUGGUUAGACUCGUGAGUGAAUGAGAUUUCUAGUUUUGUGAAUUUUGUCGGGUUUUGAGACGUGGGCCCGGGGGCCGGGUUUGAGCCAAUUUCGGAUUUUGGCCUAAUUUUUGUAGUUUUUCUUGUGGGAUUCGUUCCAUUAAUGCGUAUUGAUGGUAUUGUACUGUUUUGAAUAGAUUCGGGCCAUUUGGAGUCAGAUACUUGUGGCAAGAACGUGAUAUCAGGUUAAUUUGAGCGUUUCGAGGUAAGUGGCUUGCCUAACCCUAUGUUGGGGACUUCCCCCUUAAGAUAUCUUGAUAUUAUUUUGUGUGUGGGCGCCGUGUACGUACACGGGCUAUUAUUGAAAAAAACCCAUUUUUCCUUUCUAAAUCAUAAAUUAUUUUCCUUAUUAAAUUGCACUAAUGUGUUAAAUUGUGAAACUUAAACUAAGGAACCUUGCUUACAUGUUUUAACUGCCUAAUUGACAUUCUGUGCGUCAUGUUUAGUUAAGUCCUUAAUUGCCUUAUCUGUGUCCAGUAUAAACUGUAUAACUCGAUGUCAUACCUGCCAUUUCAUCUCGCGUUGCAUAUUUAAAUUGGGACUACGGACGUAUUCCGGGAGAUCUCCCUGUACUGCAUAUUUAUUUUGGGACUACGGACGUAUUCCGGGAGAUCCCUCUGUACUACAUAUUUACUUUGGGAUUACGGACGUAUUCCGGAAGAUCUCCCAGCACUGCAUAUUUACUUUGGGACUACGGACGUAUUUCGGGAGAUUUCCAUGUACUGCAUAUUCAUUUGAAAUCACGGGACGGUAUCCCGAGAGAUUUUCCCACUGUGUUUACCUUGUUUUGAGUCGAGGGCUCCCUUUAACUGUGUUAUCGUAAAUUUUACUUAUAUCUUUUACUGUUUAAUUUACUAUAUUUACUCCGGUAGGGCCUUAACCUGACCUCGUCACUACUCGACCGAGGUUAGGCUUGGCACUUACUGGGUACCAUUGUGGUGUACUCAUACCCUUUCCUGCACAUGUUUUCGUGUGCAGAUCCAGGUACGAGCUAUCAGCCUUAGGUUUAAUACGUGCUGCUAAUUCUAGGAGACUUCAAGGUACUUCUGCUUGCGUUCGCAGAUCUUCGGAGUCCCUUUCUACUCCCUCGCCCAGAGACUUUUCUUUAUUAUCUUCAGACUUUUGUAUAGAGUUACAUAGAUUAUAGCAGCUUGUGACUUAGUGAUAUUCCGGGUCUUGGGGAAUUAUUUUGUAUAUGCCGAAUGGUGCUACUCUUGGCUAUUUAUAUUAUGGUGUUUAUUUUUAAAAUAUUGUAUUUUCUUUACNNNNNNNNNNNNNNNNNNNNNNNNNCUUGUCUAGAAGUCUGAUAUCUAAAGUUAUUUCAGGACAUCGCUUACAAAAUUUCUACGUACACUCCUAAAAAGAACUCACAUAUUUCAGGACAAUGAUAGUUAAAGAGAUAGAUUAGAAUAACCAUCCCGAAAUUAGUAGACUUAGCAUACAACAAACAAUAGAACUGUAACCAUUAAUCAAGCACGUCACUAUGGAGAAUUACUGUGUUGAGCAUAAACGGAAGAAAUUUUAGGUGUGUUUUUGUUGUUGUUAUUGUUGUUGUUCUUUUAAAAAUUUUGAAAUAAAAAAUUGAAGACUUCAAAAAGAUUUGGUGCAGCUGAAAGGCGGAUCUGGAAAUUUGAUGAAUUAAAUUUUUGCUUCAGAUAUUGGGCCAUUAAAUAGUGAAGAUUUGUUUUCGGCUGGCUUUUGUACCCUUUGUUCAAAGAAUAGGAAAGACUUUUCACAAAAAUGGGGAGGCAAAGCUUCUUUUUGGUCUUUUGUCUUUCAGAAACUGGAAAAUGUGAAAAUGACGGGGGUGUAAGGGAGAUUUAAAACUUACCUUUUGAUUUCGAAAUUGAUGAAAAGGCGAACGGUCGUAUAUCGUAAUAUAAUAUAAAAAAGCGGUCUUGCUUGGCGCGAAGGCUACUGGUUCAGGGUUAGAAUACAGUACUAAAGGUCCUCGGACUUCCAGACGGCUUUUCUUUUGGGUAGCUGUUCACCGCCUACCUGUCUAGUUAGCUUGAAUGAAAGCGUAAGGCAAUGCCCAAAGCUGUGGAGAUAAAACUCAACAAACCUAUAGACUAAGGUUAUUUCUUGUCUAGAAAUAUGAUAUCUAAAGUUAUUUCAGGACAGCGCUUACAAAAAUUUCUAAGUACACUCCUAAAAAGAACUCACAUAUUUCACGACAAUAUAACCAUCCCGGGAUUAGAAGACUUAGCAUACAACAAACAAUAGAACUGUAACCAUUAAUCAAGCACGUCACUAUGGAGAAUUACUGUGUUAGCAUAAACGGAAGAAAUUUUAAUUUAUUUUUUUUUUGUUGUUGUUAUUGUUGUUGUUCUCUUAAAAAUUUUGAAAUAAAAAAUUCAAGAUUUCAAAAAGAUUUGGUGCCGCUGAAAGGGGGAUCUGGAAAUUUGACGAAUUAAAUGUUUGCUUCAGAUAUUGGGCCAUUAAAUAGUGAAGAUUUGUUUUCGGCUGGCUUUUGUACCCUUUGUUCAAAGAAUAGGAAAGACUUUUCACCAAAAUGGGGAGGCAAAGCUUCUUUUUGGUCUUUUGUGUUUCAGAAACUGGGAAAUGUGAAAAUGACGGGAUUGUAAGGGAGAUUUAAAACUUACCUUUUGAUUUCGAAAUUGACCAGCGGUUGAGAAGAGUUUGACUUAUCCAAGGGUUCAAAUUUAUUCUCUUCAAGUUCAACGGAGAUGGAUGAUACGUUUGACCUAUUCGAGCUUAAAAUAUGUUAAUUGGGCGGGCUAGCGGAUAUUUGUCCCUAUGAGUAAUUUACACAGUAUAUAAUUGAUUUUUUAUAAAAAAAAAUUAAAGUAAAUUAUCGGGCACCUGUUCAAAUCAUACAAAUUAUAGAAUAAAUUUUUACAUCUUUUUUCAUAAUUUAACACAAGAUAAAUACAAAAUAUUUCUAUAGUACAAUGCCAAAACAAAAAAGCUGCUUCUCAGAGAAUUUGACUAAACGCAAACUACUAGUCACUAUCAUAGAAUACGGUUUUUUUUUUAAAACUCUUUUACACAAAAGCACUUAAUAAUUUAAGCAGAUUUUGAAAGCUGCAUAAUUAAAGGAAUGAAGAUUUGCAUGGUGGAGAAAUUAAAAAAGGUGGCUUGUCCUUAGAAGUAGAAGGAGAUUUCCGACUUCUCAAAUUAAAUAUUUACCAAAACAACCACAUUAGUAUGAACAAAAGAUACGUAACACAUACAUCCAUAACCAAAGUCUCAUAAAUCCUGUUCUAUCACAGAUUUGGCGACUUUAAUUUUUUACAUUUUUAUUAAACAAAAACUUAAUUAAAAUAUCUUACAAUAAAAAUUACAAAUUAUCAUACAAAAUUGUAAAGUAAAUAUUUACAUUCUUUAUUUCAUAAUUUGACAUUAGAAAAUACUUUUUGAAAAUAAUGUUACAGUUCAGUCAUAAUUCUCAAUCUUCAUUUACUCUUGUAUUUCCAGUUUCUUGAGUAAAUGGUUGUUUAAAUUCCAAGUUUUCAUGUCAAUAAAGAUCAUAUGCUGGCCAAUAAGUUGAAUUCAACACUCGAGGUUUAAAUUUUCUUCAAUUGAAUGUGGUUUUCUCUAGCUAAUUCGAGAGCUCAAAGAGCCAUUUCGUCGAUUUUCUGCAUCAAUGAACAAAUAUAUAAUUGUUCAAUUAGGAAAAUCCUUAUAAGACUAAUUGCUUAAACGUAUUUACUAUUAUGUCCUAGAAUUGUACUGAGUAACAUUUUGAAGAGUGGAUUCGGGAAAAGUCUUCUUAUACAUUACAUGGAUCAUAUGUUUUGUAGGUUAAGUGAUAACAAUCUCGAGAUAAAAUGUGGAAUUGUUGUAUCCUACGUUUGGUUGAACUUUUGAUUUAAAAUAGGGAUUAGUUAAACCACAAUUGUGGUACGAUUAUUAUUUUUAUACCAUCUUCAAUGCAGGAUAACAAUCACGGAAUUAAACAUCAAAAUGACUAAAAUACCAUUCUCUAAUGCUCUUAAAAGCUUAAUUUUAAAAAAAAUUUAAAAAGUUUAUCCCUACUUAUUUAGUACGAAAAACGUAACACAUGUUUUAUAUUAUACACAAUAUCCAGCUUUUAAUACAAAAAGGGGAGCCCCAUGCACUGAGUUCCCACUAUGCACAGAUCCGGGGAAGGGCCGGACCACUAGGGUCUAUUGUACGCAACCUUACCCUGCAUUUCUACUAUAGGUUAUUUUUACGGCUUGAACCCGUGACCUCCUGGUCACAUGACAGCAAUUUUAUCAGUUUUUAGUCCAAAAAUCUACCAUAAAGUAUAUUCACUAAAUAAUACUAUUAUUAUUAUUAUUAAAAUGGUAUCACUAAUCCAGGUAUAUCACAUUCUACAAUAACUUACUAAGUGUAGUACUAUUAAAUUAAGAAGACAAAAAAUAUGAGAAUUAAAUAAUAAUGUUGGGAUCACUGUGCAGCAAACACUACCAAUAAUCGGAUAUACUGUCAUGUAAAAUGCUAUUUUGUCUUAUACAAGCAGACCUAUUUGUCAAAUGGGACCCCAACAUUCCUAUUGUUAUAUAAACAAUACACAUUUGGAACAUUCCUUUGCAUUACUACCAGCGCCGUCGAGCAUACCAAUUGGUACUUUUCCUAUCUUCUUCAACUUUUCUUCAAGCUCUUUCUUCUUUUCUUCAAUAAUAUCAUUUUGUUUUGUGUUUCUACUUCUUCUUUUUCAAGCUUUGUUUUUUCUCUUCUUUUUUAAUAUUAACUUGUUUUCUUCUAUUAUUUUAUUAUGCACUUGAUAAAUCACAAAUGUGGGUUUAUUAUGUUCUUUCUUUUUUAACUUGUUUUUUUCUAUUAUUUUAUUAUGCACUUGAUAAAUCAUAAAUGUGGGUUCUUCUAUUAGUGUAAAUGCUAAAACGGGUGAUGGAUUUCCUUCUUAAUUUAAGCUAGUCUCCCUUCCUGGUAUCGAGUAUUGUGAGUAUUGUGCCAGUUAUUACAGAAUAUGGUCAUCCUUGUUGAACUUAGCUCAUGUUAUCCUUUUGAAGGUUUUGCGGAGUUAUUAACUAAAACCUUCAACUUGUGCAAUUUCAUAAGGUGUUUGUUGAAGUGAUAUAUCAGCCUGUAUUUACAGUAUUGAUAACUGCAUGUGUUUUAAUUUUUCCAGAAAAAUGUUACCAUAGCCGUUUAACAUUUGGUUGCGCAACACAUUUUUUAUUUUGCUUCUCAAUUCAGAAAAUUGUAUUUGGAAUUCUGGGGGUAUAACCCUAUUGAUUGUUGGUUAUGCACAAUGUCAUAAAGUGUCGAAUACCAUAUGUAAAAAGAAAGAAAGGAUCAUAUCCAUAGGUCCAGUGAGCAAAAAUUACAGAGACACGCGAGAAUUGGAAUUGUUCCUUAAUGUACUAAAAGCCAGAAGUUGCUUGAUUUGCUGGUCUGUGAAUAGAAUAGAAACAUUACCUUGACACAUUAACACUUCCACACACUCACAACAAGUCUUCUUCUCUUCCUUUAUUGUACUGCUUCUUUGGUCAGAGAGCAAACUUAGACUCAAUAAAAACAAUAGUUAUGAGAAGAGAUUUUGGUGUAAGGAAAGAUUAUGAGCCCUCACGAAAAUCUGCCCCUCCACUUUGAAAAUGAUAUCAUUCCUAAUCCUGUGCUUAUAGGAAGAACAUCAUGGAGUAUUAAUCCCAUUGGUUAGAGAAUCAGACUUGGACAGGCCAUAAUUUUGUCAUAGAGUCGAAUAUAAAAAAAAAAAUUAAGACUGAUGCCCUCAUCUAGUUACAAAAGUUUUAUCGCUUCUUAAGACUUAAGUAUCAUAGUGCAGAGCUUCAAGCACUUGGUUAUGUGAGUCGAUGAACAGCUUCCUGACAAAAUAUGUUGAAGAGAUCUUAGGUAUCUCAUGUUCUUAAAUCUAAGGUGCCUACUAUUUUUAUUGAUCUUGUGUUUUGCAGGGAAAGAGAAAAAUUGACAUCCAUGGCUGAAAGUGAAAUACAAGAGGAAAUGGAAGAGUCAACCCAACAACAACCACAACCUGAAAUACAACAGGAAAUGGAAGAUGCCCCCACAGAACAAUGGAGUAAUUCUUUUAGCAAAGUUUGUUACAUUUAACAUGUAAGCAUAUAUAUGUACAGUAAUCUCUAACAUUUAGCACUUUGUAUCAAUUAUUAGCUCUAGGUGAAAUCACUCCCUUCAGCUUCGAAGACAUAGAUAACGGGACAAAUAAUUUUGCACAUAAAGUUGGGCGCUGACUCCAAGGGAUAGUCUACAGGGGGAGCUGAAUGGGCAGCCUAUUGCUAUCAAAAAAUGCUCUCUCAAGGGAAUUAGGACAAGUGAUCCGAUCGAAGAAGCCAAGAACUUGUCCCUUUUUAAUCAUUCCAACAUUAUCCAACUCCUUGGGGUCUGCAAAACAGAUUCCCACCUUUACAUGGUUAUGCCUUACUUGAGUAAUGGGGACUUGAUGUCAAAAUAUGCAGGUAUAAAUUGUACUUCUCCUAUCAAUAGCAAGUCAUAAUAUAGUACUAUUAUUCUUGAAUAGUUACAAGUUUUAAAUUUGUCUUACACUUCAUAUUACAGUAUUUCCUUUACUAUAGUUGCAAGCUUUAACUCCAUCUUACAGACAUUGAAGUUUCUAGCUUAAGAUUUCUUUGGCAUCAUUCUAUUCUAAUUUGUACUGGUGAUAGUUAACGUUGGCAUCCUUCUAAUUUUAGUCACUUUGAAGAAACUAAUAACAAUUGUAGUUUUACAUCACAUGGAGCAAACUGAAUGAACAAAAUACAAAAAUAAUGAAGAAUUAACCAAAGACUUGGCCGAUGGCUGGAGAAUUAUUGCAAUAAGUUCAUUGAGGAAAGAGUUUUUAUAUUGGAUUUGGAUCGAGAUGAGUCAAGAUGUAACGAGUCAAAACCCAACCCCUCAAUUAUCACAUAAAUCUAAGUAAUUGAUCGGUGAACAACAAUUUACACUAACUCAACAUAUGUUUCGGUCAAAUUGUAGCAGCAAAUUUUUGGCGAAAUCUUAGUUUUAAGAUUGCAGAAUCUAUUGCAAGGAUUUAGGUCUCGACUACAUUUCAGAAAAUUUAAAGAAGCUUCUGAAAUUACAACUUUUACGAUUAUGGGUCAAAUUUGACACCUCUAGCCAUACCUGGUUGCAUCUACUGGACCAUUUGGAAGGAAAGAAACUUAAGAAGUAUAGAAGGAAAGAGGGACUCAUUAAGCUAGGUUGAAAUUGAGCAUAUUCUUCAUUUAUCGGCCUAUUGUAAUCUUUAUGUCUUACCUGGGUUAGACAAGUAACUCGAUUUCUACUAGAUUCAGUAAUAUAUGUGUAAUUAUCUAUUCACUGCACUCUAGCUCAGAUUUUAAUUAUUGAAAUAAAGUUAUCGGAAAAAAAAUUGUAAGAAUCCUUUUGAUAACCCAUUGUAGCUUUUAACUCAUGAACAUCUCAAGUAUCCUUAUGAUUUAUAGAGAAAAGUUAUCUGCAGUGCAACAACAAAAGUAAGAAAUUAGUGUGUAGAGCAUAUGAGAGGAAGUAGAUAAAAAUUAAGUGACAAAUGAGACAAUGUUAGCACCGGAUAUUUCAAACCCCUAAGUAGAUAUUUUUCCGCAAACAUAGAGCUAAAGCAACAACUUUUGCAGGGCUUUCGUUGCUUUGGUGCCUUGUUCCCUAUCACUGCCUUGCUAAUCUAGGUGAGACAUUAUAGGGCCUCAAUGAACACUUUCAGAAUUAUUGAGAUGUAUUUUUAUACUUUGCAUAGCUGAAUUAGUUUGUUAGCACUUACUUUGUUGCUUGCUUAGCUUUCACUUAGCCUGGGGAGGGUAGUGUGUAUGCAAACCUUACCCCUUCCCGAGGGGGUUGAGAGGUUGUGUCGGGUAAACUCUUGGCUCAAGAAGACGAAAAGAGAGAUAAUAUAUCAGUACUAUCAAUAGAAAACAAUAGAAAUAAUGACAGAAACAUAAGAAUAGAUGCAAAGCACUAACAAUAAUCAGUAGAUAAGGUCCGGCACAAAGAAAAACUGUAGAAUAGUGCGAAGACAACAUGAACCACUAGCAGUUUAAGACAAAAUCCUAUCAGACUAGCCUCACACCUCUACAAAGUAGAACAAUGCUAACUUGGGUAAAAUCAUGUUUUUGCUUCUGGAGCGUAUUUUGAUUUGGUAGGACAUACCUGGUUGCAUCUAGUGGACCAUUUGGAAGGAAAGAAAUCUAAGAAAGUUUGAAGGAAAGAGGGACUCACUCACUAUCUAGAUUGAAUUUAAACAUAUUCUUCUUUUAGCAUCCUAGUGCAAGAGGAAGUAGAAAAUUAAGUGACAAAUGAGACUAUGUUAGCACUUAGCACCGAAUAUAUCAGACCCCUAAGCAGACAUCUUUCUGCAAACAUAGAAUUAGAGCAACAACUUUUGCAGGACUUGUUACUUCAGUGACUUGUUUUCUAUUACUGCUUUACUAAUCUAGGUGAGACAUUAUAGGGCCUCAAUGAAUAGUUUCAGAUUAUUGAGAUAUAUUUAUAUACUUGUAUAGCUGAAUUAGUUGGUUAGUUCGUGGCUUAGCUGUCAAUUAGUUGAUAUUAGUCGGUUAGAUGGUUUCAGAUAUUUUGGUAUAGAUAUAUUGGUUUCAGAUAUUUUAUUUUUUCUUGAUACGUGACUCAAAUGGCCUGCUCUUUUGAGUGCAGCUAAUAUUGCAAACCCUUAUAACUUUAAAAUGAGUCGGUAAAUUAUUCGGGUAAGGAGGAAAGGGGGUCUAGUGCAUUUUUUCUGGAAAAAUGAAGAGCCUUUCACAUCCUUCUAAACUUAGAAAGAGUAAAGUAAUUAAAUAACCUUUUUAGAUUUCAUCUAGCACAGUCUAGUCGCAUGAGCAAAAUACAAAAAUAAUAAAGCAACAAGGAAAGUGACGGAAUAACUUCAAAAAGGGUGGAUAGUUAGUUUCAUAAAUCUAUUGAGGAAAGAGUUUCCCGAUUUAAAGACAAUCAAAGUGUCCAGUUCUAUUCACUGCUACUCGUGCUGCAGCAGAUUAAAAUUCAAGAUGAGUAACUGAAAUGUUGGACAGAGAAUGGAAGGGAACUAGUGAAUAUUUGUAGAAACUGAAGAAUAUGCUUCUUUGGGUUGAUUAAAAGUGGGAAUAGCUUGAAACUUGGUUAGAUGAGAUAAAUGUUUCAAAUUACUUCAACCGUACAUAGGUUUUGCUAUUUUAUUUGAGCAGUAACUUUUUCACUAGAUACGUAUUGAUACACGCACUUUCAAACAAAAUUAAAUUGGAGUCAAAUUGUUAAUGUCUUGGUGGAAGUUGCUUUGGGAUUGAAGCACGUGCACAAUUGCAGUCCUCCAUUGAUCUUCAACGACUUAAACCCAUCCAACAUACUUUUGGAUGAGGUAAUUACUUUAUUAAAUUUAUUAAGAUAUGUCAAAACUUUAAUAUCUUAUUCAUUAAAAUACAAAUGUAGGAAUUAAAUGUAGUUUUGUGCGAUUUUGGGGCGCCGUCACCAACAACAAGGGAGAAAAAAAUUUGGUACCCCUAGAUAUAUUGACCUUGCCCAUCUGUAUCAAAUGAAUCGUAAGCUCAAGGAUGAUUACCGAUCUGAAUCUAAAAUAUUUUUGCAUUCUGGAAAAUUUAAUAUUUUAACAAACUUUGUCUAUUUUAUGACAGAAUAUCCCGUAGUGGAAAAUGACAUAUUCGGUUUUGGAAUAUUCAUGUUGCAACUUGUCAGCCAAUGUGAGAGUAUGACCAAGAUGAAGGAUAGAAGUGGAAACACAUGUAAUUCCAAGACUGAAUAUGUAAUUCCACUUCUAUCCUUCAUCUUGGUCACACUCUCACAUUGGCUGAUAAGUUGCAACAUGAAUAUUCCAAAACCGAAUAUGUCAUUUUCCACUACGGGAUAUUCUGUCAUAAAAUAGACAAAGUUUGUUAAAAUAUCAAAUUUUUCAGAAUGCAAAAAUGCUUUAGAUUCAGAUCUGUAAUCAUCCUUGAGCUUACGAUUCAUUUGAUACAAAUGGGCAAGGUCAAUGUAUCCAGGGGUACCAAAUUCUUUCUCCCUUGUUGGUGACGCCGCCCCAAAAUCGCACAAAACUGCAUUUAAUUCCUACAUUUAUAUUUUAAUGAAUAAGAUAUUAAAGUUUUGACAUAUCUUAAUAAAGUAAUUACCAAAUCCAAAAGUAUGUUGGAUGGUUUUAAGUCGUUGAAGAUCAAUGGAGGACUGCAGUUGUGCACGUGCUUUAAUCCCAAAGAAACUCCCACCAAGACAUUGACAAUUUGACUCCAAUUUAAUUCUGUUUGAAAGUGUGUGUAUCUAGUGGAAAAGUUACUGCUCAAAUAAAACAGCAAAACAUAUGUACGGUUGAAGUAAUUUGAAACAUUUAUCUCAUAUAACCAAGUUUCAAUCUACUCCCACUUUCAAUCAACCCAAAGAAGCAUAUUCUUCAGUUUCUACAAACAUUCACUAGUUCCCUUCCGUUCUCUGUCCAACAUUUCAGUAACUCAUCUUGAAUUUUAAUCUGCUGCAGCACGAGUAGCAGUGAAUAGAACUGGACACUUCGAUUGUCUUUAAAUCGGGAAACUCUUUCCUCAAUAGAUUUAUGAAACUAACUAUCCACCCUUUUUGAAGUUCUUCCGACACUUUCCUUAUUGCUUCAUUGUUUUUGUAUUUUGCUCAUGCGACUAAACUGUGCUAGAUGAAAACUAAAAAGGUUAUUUAAUUACUUUACUCUUUCUAAGUUUAGAAGGAUGUGAAAGGCUCUUCAUUUUUUCAGAAAACAUGCACUAGACCCCUUUUCCUCCUUACCCAAAUAAUUUACUGACUCAUUUUAAAGUUAUAAGGGUUUGCAAUAUUAGCUGCACUGAAAAGAGCAGGCCAUUUGAGUCACGUAUCAAGAAAAAAUAAAAUAUCUGAAACUAGUAUAUCUAUACCAAAAUAUCUGUAACUAUCUAACUGACUAAUACCAACUAAUUGACAGCUAAGCCACUAACUAAUUCAGCUAUACAAGUAUAUACAUAUAUCUCAAUAAUCUGAAACUGUUCAUUGAGGCCCUAUAAUGUCUCACCUAGACUAGUAAAGCAGUAAUAGAAAACAAGUCACUGAAGCAACAAAAGUCCUGCAAAAGUUGUUGCUCUAAUUCUAUGUUUGCGGAAAGAUGUCUACUUAGGGGUCUGAUAUAUCCGGUGCUAUGUGCUAACAUAGUCUCAUUUGUCACUUAAUUUUCUACUUCCUCUUACACCAGGCUGCUAAAAGAAGAAUAUGUUUAAAUUCAACCUAUAUAGUUAGUGAGUCUCUCUUUCCUUCAAACUUUAUUAGAUUUCUUUCCUUCAAAAUGGUCCAUUAGAUGCAACCAGGUAUGUCCUACCAAAUCAAAAUACGCUCCAGAAGAGCAGAAACAUGAUUUUACCCAAGUUAGCAUUAUUCUACUUUAUAGAGAUGUGAGGCUAGUGUGAUAAGGUUUUGUCUUAGACUGCUAGUCGUUCAUGUUGUGUUCACACUAUUCUAUCAUUUUUUUUUUGUGCCGGACCUUAUCUAUUGAUUAUUGUUAGUACUUUGCAUCUAUUCAUAUGUUUCUGUCAUUAUUUCUAUUAUUUUUUGUUGAUAGUAUUGAUAUAUUGUCUCUCUUUUCGUCUUCUUGAGCCGAGAGUUUACCCGAAACAACCUCUCAACCCCCUCGGGGAAGGGGUAAGGUUUACGUACACAUUACCUUCCUCAGACCCCACUUGUGGAAUUUUACUGGGUUGUUGUUGUAUCUAACUGACCAAUACUAGCUAAGUAAGUGCUAACAAACUAAUUCAGCUGUGCAAAGUAUAAAAAUACAUCUCAAUAAUUCUGAAAGUGUUCAUUGAGGCCCUAUAAUGUCUCACCUAGAUUAGAAAGGCAGUGAUAGGGAACACGGCACCGAAGCAACAAAAGUUGUUGCUUUAGCUCUAUGUUUUGCGGAAAAAUGUCUACUCAGGGGUUUGAAAUAUUCGGUACUAACAUUGUCUCAUUUGUCACUUAAUUUUUAUCUUCUUCCUCUCGUAUGCUCUACACACUAAUUUCUUACUUUCGUUGUUGCACUGCAGAUAACUUUCCUCUAUAAAUCAUAAGGAUACUUGAGAUGUCCAUGAGCUAAAAGCUAUAGUGUGUUAUCAAAAGGAUGCUUACGAUCUGUUUUUUCCGGUAACUUUAUUUCAAUAAUUAAAAUAUGACCUAGAGUGCAGUGAAUAGAUAAUUACACAUAUAUUACUGAAUCUAGUAGAUAUCGAGUUACUUGUCUAACCCAGGUAAGAUAUCAAGAUUACACCAGACUGUUAAAUGAAGAAUAUGCUCAAUUUCAACUUAGCUUAAUGAGUCCCUCUUUCCUUCUAAACUCCUUAAGUUUCUUUCCUUCCAAAUGGUCCAGUAGAUGCAACCAGGUAUGGCUAGAGGUGUCAAAUUUGACCCAUAAUCGUAAAAGAUGUAAUUUCAGAAGCUUUUUUAAAUUUUCUGAAAUGUAGUCGAGACCUAAAUCCUUGCAAUAGAUUCUGCAAUCUUAAAACUAACAUUUGCUGCUACAAUUUGACCGAAACAUAUGUUGAGUUAGUGUAAAUUGUUGUUCACCGAUCAAUUGCUUAGAUUUAUAUGAUAAUUGAGGGGUUGGGUUUUGACUCGUUACUUCUUGACUCAUCUCGACCCAAAUCCAUUUUGACCUAAAAUCAAUUUGGAUGGGUUGGGUCAUGACCCGUUUAUUGAUCCAACCCGUUUUGACCCGCCCAAAUUUAAUUCAACUCGCCCAUUUGCCACUCCCUAUGUAUGGCCUACCAAAUCAAAAUACGCGCUAGAGCUUUGGUAUUAAGAAGAUUUUUAGUCUCCUCAAACAUGCUAGUUCCUUUCCCUCCUCAGCCCAGCAUUUCAGUUACUUAUCUUGAAGUUUGAGUAACAGUAAACAAAACUAGUCACUUUUCAUGAGUCUUUUAAAUAUAGAAACUCUUUCCUCAAUAAACUUAUUGCAAUAAUUCUCCAGUCAUUGGCCAAGUCUUUGGUUAAUUCUUCAUUGUUUUUUGCAUUUUUUUCAUUCAGUUUGAUAGACCAUGUGAUGUAAAACUACAAUUGUUAUUAGUUUCUUCAAAGUGGCUAAAAUUAGAAGGAUGCCAACGAUAACUAUAACCAGUACAAAUUAGAAUAGAAUGAUGCCAAGGAAAUCUUAAGCUAGAAACUUCAAUGUCUCUAAGAUGGAAUUAAAGCUUGCAACAAUAGUAAAGGAAAUACUGUAAUAUGAAGUGUAAGACAGAUUUAAAACUUGUAACUAUUCAAGAAUAAUAAUACUAUAUUAUGACUUGCUAUUGAUAAGAAAGAAAUACAAUUUAUACCUGCAUAUUUUGACAUCAAGUCCCCAUUACUCAGGUAAGGCAUAACCAUGUAAAGGUGAGAAUCUGUUUUGCAGACACCAAGGAGUUGGAUAAUGUUGGAAUGAUUAAAAAGGGACAAGUUCUUGGCCUUUUCGAUCGGAUCACUUGUCCCAAUUCCCUUGAGAGAGCAUUUUUUUGAUAGCAAUAGGCUGCCCAUUCAGCUCCCCCUGUAGACUAUCCCUUAGAGUCCGCGCCCAACUUUAUGUGCAAAAUUAUUUGUCCCGUUAUUUAUAUCUUCGAAGCUGAAGGGAGUGAUUUCACCUAGAGCUAAUAAUGGGUACAAAGUGUUAAAUGUUAGAGAUUACUAUGCUUACAUGUUAAAUGUAAUAAAUUUUACUAAAAGAAUUACUCCAUUAUUCUGUGGGGGCAGGUUGUUGUUGGGUUGACUCUUCCAUUUCCUAUUGUAUUUCAGGUUGUGGUUGUUGUUGGGUUGACUCUUGUAUUUCACUUUCAACCAUGGCUGAGAAAAAAUCCUCAUGUAUUUCACUUUCAGCCAUGGCUGAGAAACAAUCCUCUUGUAUUUCACUUUCAGUUCAGCCAUGGCUGAGAAACAAUCCUCUUGUAUUUCACUUUCAGCCAUGGCUGUCAAUUUUUCUCUUUCCCUGCAAAACACAAGAUCAAUAAAAAUAGUAGGCACCUUAGAUUUAAGAACAUGAGAUACCUAAGAUCUCUUCAACAUAUUUUGUCAGGAAGUUGUUCAUCGACUCACAUAACCAAGUGCUUGAAGCUCUGCACUAUGAUACUUAAGUCUUAAGAAGCGAUAAAACUUUUGUAACUAGAUGAGGGCAUCAGUCUUAAUUUUUUUUUUUAUAUUCGACUCUGACAAAAUUAUGGCCUGUCCAAGUCUGGUUCUCUAACCAAUGGGAUUAAUACUCCAUGAUGUUCUUCCUAUAAGCACAGGAUUAGGAAUGAUAUCAUUUUCAAAGUGGAGGGGCAGAUUUUCGUGAGGGCUCAUAAUCUUUCCUUACACCAAAAUCUCUUCUCAUAACUAUUGUUUUUAUUGAGUCUAAGUUUGCUCACUGACCAAAGAAGCAGUACAAUAAAGGAAGAGAAGAAGACUUGUGGUGAGUGUGUGGAAGUGUUGAUGUGUCAAGGUAAUAUUUCUAUUCUAUUCCCAGAUCAGCAAAUCAAGCAACUUCUGGCUUUUUGUACAUUAAGGAACAAUUCCAAUUCUGGCGUGUCCCUGUAGUAUAUGAUCCUUUCUUUCUUUUUACAUAUGGUAUUUGACACUUUAUGACAUUGUGCAUAACCAGCAAUCAAUAGGGUUAUAACCCCAGAAUUCCAAAUACAAUUUUCUGAAUUGAGAAGCAAAAUAAAAAAGGUGUUGCACAACCAAAUGUUAAACGGCUAAGGUAACAUUUUUCGGGAAAAAAUUAAACACAUGUAGUUAUCAAUAUUGUAAAUACAGGCUGAUAUAUCACUUCAACAAACACCUUAUGAAGUUGCACAAGUUAAGGGUUUUAAUUAAUAACUCCGCAAAACCUUCAAAAGGAUAAUAUGAGCUAAGUUCAAUGACCAUAUUCUGUAAUAACUGGCACAAUACUCGAGACCAGGAAGGGAGACUAGCUUAAAUUAAGAAGGAAACCCAUCACCCAUCUUAGCAUUUACACUAAUAGAAGCACCCACAUUUGUGAUUUAUCAAGUGCAUAAUAAAAUAAUAGAAGAAAACAAGUUAAAAAAGAAAGUGCAUAAUAAACCCACAUUUAUGAUUUAUCAAGUGCAUAAUAAAAUAAUAGAAGAAAACAAGUUAAUGUUAAAAAUAAAAAAUAAAAAAAAGCUUGAAAAAAAAGUGGAAGACGAUGGAAAAAGUACCAAUGCACGGCGGUGGUAUGCUCGACGACGCUGGUAAUGCAAAGGAAUGUUGGAGCCAAAUAUGUAUUGUUUAUAUAACACUAGGAAUGUUGGUGUCCCAUUUGACAAAUAGGUCUGCUUGUAUAAGACAAAAUAGCAUUUUACAUGGCGUGUAUAUCCGAUUAUUGAUAGUGUUUGCUGCACACUGAUCCCAACAUUAUUAUUUAAUUCUCAUGCUUUUUGUCUUCUUAAUUUAAUAGUACUAUACUUAGUAAGUUAUUGUACAAUGUGAUAUACCUGGAUUAGUGAUACCAUUUUAAUAAUAAUAGUAUUAUUUAGUGAAUAUACUUUAUGGCAGAUUUUUGGACUAAAAACUGGUAAAGUUGUUGACAUGUGACCAGGAGGUCAUGAGUUCAAGCCGUGGAAACAGCCUCUUGCAGGGUAAGGCUGCGUACAAUAGACCUUUGUGGUCUGACCCUUUCCCAGACCCCGUGCAUAGCGGGAGCUCAGUGCAUGGGGCUGCCCUUUUUAUAUUAAAAGCUGGAUAUUGUGUAUAAUGUAAAACAUGUGUUACGUUUUUCGUACUAAAUAAGUAGGGUUAAACUUUUGUUUUAAUUAUAAUUAAGCUUUUAAGAGCAUUAGAGAAUAGUAUUUUAGUCAUUUUGGUGUUUAAUUCCGUGAUUGUUAUCCUGCAUUGAAGAUGGUAUAAAAAUAAUAAUCGUACCACAAUUGUGGUAUAACUAAUCCCUAUUUUAAAUCAAAAGUUCAACAAAACGCAGGAUACAAUAAUUUCACAUUUUAUCUCGAGAUUGUUAUCACUUAUCCUACAAAUUACACUACAAGAAAAGGUUUACUAGCGACCAAAAUUUAGUGACGGGUGAUAAAUCUCAUCCCUAAAAGUGUACGUAUAAGGACGAUAUUGAUUCCGGUCCCUAAUUCUCUAUUUUGCCUUUUAAUUAGUGAAGGGACUAAAUCCGGCCACUAAAAUAAUUGAAUUCUGGUCCUUAAUACUGUUAUUGAGCGUCACGCUAUUUAUCUUUGCCUUAAAAAUAUGAAAUAAACAAAAAUGAAUAUUCUAAAAUUAAAAAGAUAACAACUCUGUAAUUAGAACUCAGCUCUCUCAAAACUCCGUCUCCUUCUCAAAGCCUUAAAAACCCUAAACCCAUCUCUUAAAACCCGUAAGAUCCCUAAAAUCAUUAUCUCUCAAGAUUUCGUUCUUCCGAUUUCUUCUAAUAUUGUUGGAGAGAUAUGGGUAGCCGUUGGACUGAGUAUGGAUGUUCUUCCUACUGCAUAGAUGUUGCCGAAUAUUGCGUUGUUCCUAAAUCUGGUACAGGUUUGUGGGCUGAUUUUGGGUAUGUCAAAAGUUAUCCUUUUAUAUACAUUCUAUAAUGAUUUAUCUAGUUAUUUUUUAAUGUUUGGGUCGAUUCUUCUCCAAAAUUUACAACAGAUCUAGCUAGAGGGCUUGAACUCCAGAAAUAUUUUGGGAUUCCUCAGUAAACUUUGUCCAGUGAAAUAAAUUUCUUCUCAUUAUUGGCAACGAGGUAGUGAUUUCAUUCCAAGAUAUGUUUUAUGGCUUUACAGUUUGAUUACAAAGUUUUAUUUUUUGAUUGUUAAAUUAAAAAGUUUUGUUUGUUUGCUUGUUUUAUUCUUUUUCGCUCUUUAUUGUCAAUGUACAAAUACCAUAUGAGUUGUGACAUAUUAUCACACCUGACGUCUUAGUGAAUCCAAAUGUAAUGAUAAGGAUACUUUUCAUGAAUUUGAAUUUUAAAUGCCAAUAUCAGUUUAUGACAUAAUAAUUUGGGAAAGGUCUCUGGAGGAUAUUUUUUUACUUUUUACGGUGUUAAAUGUGAUGGGCACUAGUAAAGCGAGAAGAUAAAAGAAUAUUAUAUAAUUUAUGUAGUGAAAGAAUGGUGUUAAUAAUUAAUUUAGGAGUUUUGAACUUCAAAUCUUGUAUCAGGAAUGAGAUUAUUUUUCAGUGGCAAUAAAAGGAUGUAGCACAGUAUUUAAAAUUUAUCCUGUUCAUUUGAUUGUUCAUAUGUCUAAGUAGUUGAGUAGUCAGCAGAGUUAGAGGGUCCCUUAAUGAGUUAUGGUUUCUUUUUUUUUUCUUCAUAAAAAUAAUGUACUAUAUUUUGUUCUAAUUGUGAGGUUUAUGUUUGAUCAGUUGAUUAAGAUAUUCUUUGCGUUUGGCCACGAUACUCCCUUUGAGUUAACUUGUACCUAUUUUCUCAUCUUAGAUUUAACAUUUGCAUUAUCCCAGGCAUUUUUAUAAGCUUCUAUACAUAGAGAUGUAUAAUAUUCUUGUGAAGGAAAUCUCAUUGCUGCUAAGUUAUGUAGAAACUCUUAGUUUCACCAUUCUUUCCUUGGGUCGUGUAUGUAUGUGUUUGGUGUAUCUCUAGCUAUUUUCUUAGCUGCUAAUGAAAUCAUGAUCUUGGUUGUUAAUAUAUUUUUCGAUGUCAGUUGCUACAUUUCAGGAUUAGCUAUUGUUAUUCUUCAUCUUGUUCGACUUUUUUGACUUCUUGGGGAAUAUUAGGAGCAAACAUAUGAGUAUGUAGUUAAAUUAGGCUGAGCAACUGUACCUUUUUUCCCCAAAAUAAUAUCAUUAAAGUGGAGAAUACUGUUAUUUGUCAUGACUUGAGUGAUAUUAAAGUUUGUGAAUAAGCUAUAUACCUUAGUUAUCAUAAAUGAGUAGUUGGAAAGUGAAGUAUUUGAGCAGUGCUAGAAAAGAAAUACUUUUGUCUGUUUGAGCUCCUAUGUCAUUGUUUAGAAUGUUUUGAUUUCAUUUACAUGAUUUUCUAUGUAAGGAAAUUACUUCCUUGAAUGUUCUGAACAUGCUGCUUUAAAAGAUACUAAAUAUGUGGCUAAUUCUUGGUAAGUUAAAUGUGCUAUUGCUGGAGAAAUGGACAAUUUGGACAUUGCAGGUACUUAUAUGUUAUUCUGAUGUCCUUAAGAUGCUAUAGCUGAAAAUAUUGUGGCCACAAUAAUAGUUGAACUAGAACUCACUACUACCUUAUUUCAUCUGAGUACAAUGGAGUAUUCUAUCCAAAUGGACAGUUGUAUAGGCUAAUGUGGUGUUAAUAUGUGCAGGUACAAGGUGAAGGACCAAGUACAUUCAAAUAGCAAGAAGUUGAACACAAAGUGCAAAAAUUUCCCACCUUAUUGAAGAUAUGAAAAAUAUCGUCAACAAUAAUUUUUCCACUAGCAGAAAUUUGCUUCCUUAGAGGCUGUACAGAGUUUAACAACUGCACCCAAGAGGUACUAAGCUAAAUAUUAGGGUGAGUUUGAAAAUUAAUGUAGUUGAAGACUAGCAGCUUGAUGGUGUUUAGCUUUAGUUUGUUGCAGUUGUGCACUGUUUUAGACACUGCUGUAGAGAUGCAAUCUCCAUUGAGUUCAACGGCUUGACGUACUCAGUUUUAACAAAAGUUGAUAUUAAUACCAAGUGAAGUUGUCAGCGCGUAUUGGAUGCAGAAAUAAAGAUUUGUUGAAUAUGAAAUCAAGACAGUUUCAUGGUAGAAAAAAAGAUUUGGCUGAAGGGGAUCAAACCACAACAACACGGGCCUCUUACAUCAGACAUUACAAAAGUUGUCCAAUUCUUUUUCCUUGCUGCUACAGAACUGAGUUAUUCCUUUACAGUUAGUUGUCGGUUGAUCUAAUUUUUGCCUUCAAAGUGAUUUUUCCAACUUAUAUUAGUUGAAUUACUCAUUGGAGUGUAUUAGACAGACUGGUAUCGCGAGAAUAUUUAGAUGGUUAUACUAUAUAAAGUCUAAAUUCAGAAAUAUGUAGGAGGUAAGGUAUAUGUCCCCCUCCUUGUAUUUGACAUGUUAAUGAAAUCUACAUUAAGGUCUCGAUGAUUAACCUUGAUGUGCAUAUAUGAAAGCUUGAUGUUACUGAUAAUUUUGUGGUAUUAAGCUAAUUAUUUUUGUUGCAAAUUGUAUAAUAUUCUGGUAAUAAAUUGAAUAUUAGAGAAUUAGUAAUUAGACUUUUAGUCCUUAAAGAUCUUUAAGGACCAUAAUUUUUUGUCGUUAAAUAUAUUUAGGCCCCAGAUGGGACUUUGUCUAACGGCCAGAAAUUUGGUCCCUAAACGUGUUUUAGAGACCAGAAUAUUGCUAGUCGCUAAAACUCUUUAACGACCAGUCGCUACACUCAUCCUUAUUGCCUUUUAGCGACGGAGCCUAUAGCGACCAGUCACUACUCAUUUUUUAAGACCAGAAUUGGACUUUUAGGGACCAUUUUUUUUGUCUCUAAAAGAAAAAAAUGCGCAGUUGCCAAGAGAUUGAGAGAAAAUGGGUGCUCUAAAGAAGAUGCCACAAAAAUUACUGACCUCGCCUUAAGGUGCACUCAGUGCGAGAUACGUAAGAGGCCCAAUCUUGAUCGAAUCAUUCAGGAGCUACAAAUGCUUGACCAGGGCGGUUCUUGCCUGAAGAAAGCAAGCUGUUUUCGUCUACUUUAAACUGGGGAUUGGCAAGUGUGUUUUUUUGUGAAGACUUCCAUGUGCAAGAUCCAUUCUGACAAUUUAGAUUAAGAGAAUUUAGAUGAGACUCACCUCUGAGACAUGGUUUAGAUCCGCUUGGCCGGAAUCAAUGACCUAUCUCCUUUUUUUGCGGUG